rnacentral:rRNA from 1 species
AUUGAACGCUGGCGGCAGGCCUAACACAUGCAAGUCGAGCGGAUGAAGGGUGCUUGCUCCUGGAUUCGGCGGCGGACGGGUGGGUGAUGCCUAGGAAUCUGCCUGGUAGUGGGGGCUAACGUCCGAACGCGGGCGCUAAUACCGUAUAAGUGCUGAGGGAGUAAGGGGGGGAGCUUCGGACCUUCCGCUCUCGGGUGAGCCUAGGUCGGAUUAGCUAGUUGGUGGGGUAAAGGCCUACCAAGGCGACGAUCCGUAACUGGUCUGAGAGGAUGAUCAGUCACACUGGAACUGAGACACGGUCCAGACUCCUACGGGAGGCAGCAGUGGGGAAUAUUGGACAAUGGGCGAAAGCCUGAUCCAGCCAUGCCGCGUGUGUGAAGAAGGUCUUCGGAUUGUAAAGCACUUUAAGUUGGGAGGAAGGGCAGUAAGUUAAUACCUUGCUGUUUUGACGGUACCAACAGAAUAAGCACCGGCUAACUUCGUG